AGUCGAAGAUGGGUAUUAGAUACUAUGCCGAUUGGCUUUAGGCUAAGUGGGAGUUGUUGGGAAUUGUAUCCUAAAUGUCAAUCGUCAGCAUGUUGAUGAUUGAAUUUUGUAAAUGAAUUGACAAAUCAAUAAAGUAUUUUUUGCCAUUAUUCAUCAUUUUACAUCUUCAAAUGGACUCUUAUAUGAUGAAGUCUUUAGGACUUAUUAAUGAUAAAGGAGGAUUUAUCUUCGAGUCCUUAAACUAGUUCGCAACCAAAUGAUAUGUUGUUACAAGGACGACAGCAUUAUCAAGAUUAGGUCAUUGUGUGACAUAUACGUUGGUUGUCCUCUUAACCAAGGAGUGUGGAGACACUGGUAUGCCACACACGUGAAGUGUAGGAGUACAUUUCACUGAACGUGACCAAUUCAGGAACGCUCUACUGUCAAGAGAUAUUCCGAGUGGAUAUGGGUAUAAGUUUGGCCCUCUGACCUGAGACCGCAACCUGUGACUAGCAAGAAACUCAUUGUACUUUGGUACCGGACUACCUGGAUUUCUAAUUCAGUGACGGAAGGUCACUGG
rnacentral:lncRNA from 1 species